UUUCUAGUUACUCUGUAUGAUGUUUGGCUUGUUCUUUGUUUUUUCUUUUAGUACUCUGUAGUUCAUCGAUAUUUAUAGUCUGCAUGAAUUUUGCACUAUAUAUUUGAAUAUAUUUAUAGUCUUAGGCUCCAUUUAGUCAUCACAUUGGUAUUUAUGAAUGUAAAUUUAUCUCAAACCAAAUGGAGCUUAAGCCCUUUUUUAACUCCGCCAAUGCAACUCCUUGCAUUGCCAGUCCCAACCCCGGGUAAAGGAGGAGGGAGAAGGGCUUCAAGGUGAGUUUUAUUUUUUUUUUCCAUUUUUUGAAGCUGUUAUAAUUUUUGAGUUUAUUUUUGCUUGCAAGCUGGCAGAUUUGCUCGCAUAUGUUGGCGUAUGGCCUUACAAUUCUUAGAGGUACAUUCAGGCUUUGACUUCUCAGAGGUACAUUCGAGCUAGCAGAUUUGCCAACUAACAGAUUUUCUCAUGUAUGGUACGAUCUGCUACACUCGACACAUGGCUUCCAGAACAGGUUGCAUUUAUUCAAACAAUGAGAAAUGAGAAGUCAAAUAGCUACUGGGAAGCAGGACUGCCUCCAAAUUACAACAGAAAUCUUUUGGUGGGCUCUAGUUGAUGAAUAGCCUGGAUCCAUCACACGUGCUGCGAAUCACCUUAGCACCCAUCUUCUACGUAACAUCUAUUUGUUUGUGGUCUAAACACCUUGGUCUUAUUGGAUGUCUUUCACUUAGCAAUACCAGAUUUCUUGUGCAUCAACAAAAGCUUUGUGUUUUCCGGAAUUGUGCAUGGUAAAAUGGGAUUUCACAAACUUGUUAGCAUGCCUGACUUGAGCUGACAAAACAGGUUUCUUCUAAUUUAAAAGCAGAGCCGGUCCCGGUGCAGGCUGAUUCAACACAGAAAGUGCAACCUACACCCAAUAUCCCACCUCCAAAGGUUGUCGAAAUCAUUGACUGGUAUGAGACAAUGCAUUCCAGAGAGCUCAAGUGGCAAUAAGCUUGCAUUUAUACAAGACCCGAAAAUGGACAAAACCUACACCAGGACAGUAAUGGUAAGAUUUCCUUGUAAUUAUCAUCAUCUGCUGAUUGUAAAAUUUCCCCCUUUGUCUGGGAUUUAUCUCUCUGCUGAACUGUAACUGCAUUUUAGAGAUGUGUUAAGAUCACUAAAAGUUCUAGGAUUUCAGCUCAGCGAUUGAGCUUUAGAAGAGUGAUUCUUCUAUUAUUUUUUUAGUUGUGUGAUCCUUAUGAAGCUGUUGAACUCCUUAUGGAUGAAAGAUUCUUGUUUGUGUCUUGAUGAUUUCCUGCUGCUUUUCUGGAUAUAUUUGGAUCAGUCUUGACAUGUGAAACAUUUACUUGU